CCUACGUGAGGCAGCAGUGAGGAAUAUUGGACAAUGGGCGCGAGCCUGAACCAGCCAAGUAGCGUGAAGGAUGACUGCCCUACGGGUUGUAAACUUCUUUUAUAAAGGAAUAAAGUGAGGCACGUGUGCCUUUUCGUAUGUACUUUAUGAAUAAGGAUCGGCUAACUCCGUGCCAGCAGCCGCGGUAAUACGGAGGAUCCGAGCGUUAUCCGGAUUUAUUGGGUUUAACGGGUGCGUAGGCGGAUCGUUAAGUCAGUGGUCAAAUUGAGGGGCUCAACCCCUUCCCGCCAUUGAAACUGGCGCUCUUGAGUGGAAGAGAAGUAUGCGGAAUGCGUGGUGUAGCGGUGAAAUGCAUAGAUAUCACGCAGAACCCCGAUUGCGAAGGCAGCAUGCCGGCUUCCGACUGACGCUGAAGCACGAAAGCGUGGGGAUCGAACAGGAUUAGAUACCCGAGUAGUC
rnacentral:rRNA from 1 species